ensembl:lncRNA
CUUUUAUUGUUUUGCAUUCAAACUCAAAAGUUUUGCAAACAAACACACACAAAAAACUAGAUAUAAUUUUUCCUACCAUUUCACAUUGUAUCCAUUACCAAUUUUGCAUUUGCAUACAAAAGUUUUGCGAGAUAAUUCAAAUGUUUCGAAAGAGAACAAAAAUUUUCUCGGAGUAAUGGAAAUGUUUUUUUUUUCCUUUAGAUGCUCUGUACAUUCCAACCUGUUUAUUGGUAUGAUAAUGAUAAAAUUUAAAAGGCAAUGAAAAAAAAAUAUCAAUGGGUACAUUCAUCUCUUUAUUUUGAACUUGUUAGAUUGCAUCAUGUUUAUUUUCUUUCUGUUGUGUAAAUAAUCAAGUCAUCAUUAUUAAAGUUGAGUUUGACCAGAACAUAUUUUUGGAAGUCUGGCAUAAUUAUAGAAAUAUAUCCUUAAGGGCAUAGUAAUUUUGUUAAAGUUACAGUACACAGUUCAAAUGAUAAUGCGUAACAGAAAUGACCCAACACAUGAUUUAUGUUCAUUAUUCACUGUAUGUUUUCUCUGUCGUUCUUCUUCUUACAUUCUCUAGGUGUAACUUGUAAGCAAUCACAUUAGAUUCAGCAAGGUGCCCCAUGCUGACCCGUGAGCAAAAAUGCGCAGAGCCAUGCGAUGCAUUUCUGUCCCGUGAGAAGUUUCAGAGAGCACACAGGACCCAUCAGAACAGCAGGCUCAAUGGCAUGGGACUCCAUAGUGAAACAAAGACUACAGCUCCAAGUCACAAACCAGAGAGGGGUCCCACCUCUUAAAACAUUUCCAGUACAUCAACAUGGAUCAUCUUCUCCAAACACUGGUGCCUAUAGCAACAGCAUGCUUCAGGGGAGGUCCCUUAGUGACUCAAGAAUCCUCUCUGAAAAAAAGGCCAGGAAAUCAUUCACAGCCAAAAAAGCUCUGCUCAUAGCAUGUGGAGUGCGAUGUGUCCUGUCACCACGACCCUCCAACUGCUCCACAUCAUCACCCCAUAAAGACGAGAACGGCAGAGCUCAUUCCAUCUCUGCAGAAGAACAGAAAUGCAGUAGAGACUGUGUUGAAACAAAGACUGAACUGAAAGUAUGGGAUGAAUACACUUUGAUUAAAAGACGAGGGGAGAGAGAAAGAGCGAGGAGCAGUAUACACAGACAGAGAGUCCCGCUGGAUUUAAGCCACCGGCCUUCCACUGUCCCACUGGAGAAUCAGACGGGACGCCGAGCACUAAGCACACCAGAAACACCCAUGUGUAAGAUUCUCUGGAGAAGAAAAGAUGACCAAAAUGUCCUUCAAGAUAGACCUCAACAUUUUACUGAAGAUGAGAAUCUCAGUCUAACCCCCUUACUACAUCUCUACCUGCCUUCAUCAUAUCAGCUGCAGGGGCAGAGAGAAGACACAGCAGCGGGACAGGAAAAUAGCUCAGAGGUACAUGAGAGGCAAGACGUCACAGAGGAACUCAGAGAGCAUGACAUCACCAUGGAGAGCCAAAAACAAGACAUCACCAUCAAUAAAACAGCAGAUGAAGGACAAAAUGAUUUCACAGAUGGUAUGCGAUAUGAUAAUACAGAUACCUGUGAGAAUGACACUCCUGAGGAAACGUUUGAGAAUGACAAGAUUGACGAAAAACGUCCACAAGACGUCACAGAUGACAACAGACAACAGAAAAUCAUAGAAAAUCAAUGUGACAUUGACAGAUCGUUUAAUAUUGUAGAGGACAAGCAAGAAUAUGACAUUACAGAGAAGCCUGAAGGCGAAUAUAGGAGAAUCAAAUUUAAUAGAAGUUCAUACAAAUCUUCUGAUCUCAAACACAGAAUCAAAACACGUUACCCGGCCACAGCUACAGCGCUAACAUUCCCGUCUCCCCUGAUGGACAGAAAUCCCUCUCCCACUCUCAGCGUCCUGCCAUCGUUUUAUGGAACUUCAUUUGGAUAUCGCAUCAGAACCACAUCUGAGCCCUGCCGAUCCAAAACAAGGACCAGAGAAGCCUGUGAUGACAACAGAUCUAGAGAGCCCAUGAAUGACAUGCGACAUACCAUAGAAAUAAAAGGAAAUCCCUGCUUAUUGAAAACAAGGGCUGGAGUGCCAGUCAGCCCCCACCCCAAAAUAAUGAGCCCUGAGAGGGGGUCCCAGCCUCGUAAAAUCAAAACCACCAAGACGUUUUUGUGGGGACCAGAGGGGCCUCUAGAGACUAAGACAGUGUGUGAGCUACAUAGUCCUGUGAACAGGUGGAGAAGCCUGGAUUAGGUCUGAGAAUGAUUUGACGGCACAAUUGUCUGUGGCCUUUUAUUUCUUUCCAAUACAGAAAAUCUGCUUUGCAGACUGGCAUGCUAGACCAAUUUGUGUCUAACAACUUAAAUGUCUUAUGGCUUUGAGAGGAAUGGCUUUAGCACAGGCUGUGAUGUUGAGUUAAGUCCAGCGAGUUAUAGACUUUUUAGUGUUUUUUUUCAGACACCUAUAUGGUCUUCCUCAGUGAAAGUUGCUUAAGCUGUAUUGACACAUUAUUAUGAUUCCUCAAAAUUAAAUCCCUACAGGUUUUGUUUUUUUAUUCCUCUCUCUCUCUCUCUGGUGGUACAUUUAAGUGAUGUAUAGUGCACACAAUAAAAGGUCAGUUACUGAUAGUUUGAUAUUAGUU